AGAACGAACGCUGGCGGCAGGCCUAAUACAUGCAAGUCGAACGCACCUUCGGGUGAGUGGCAGACGGGUGAGUAACGCGUGGGAACCUUCCUUGUAGUACGGAAUAACUCCGGGAAACCGGUGCUAAUACCGUAUACGCCCUCCGGGGGAAAGAUUUAUCGCUACAAGAUGGGCCCGCGUCGGAUUAGCUUGUUGGUGAGGUAAUGGCUCACCAAGGCUACGAUCCGUAGCUGGUCUGAGAGGAUGAUCAGCCACACUGGGACUGAGACACGGCCCAGACUCCUACGGGAGGCAGCAGUAGGGAAUCUUGGACAAUGGGCGCAAGCCUGAUCCAGCCAUGCCGCGUGAGUGAAGAAGGCCUUAGGGUUGUAAAGCUCUUUGGCGGGACGAUAAUGACGGUACCCGCAAGAAUAAAGCCCCGGAUAACCGUUCGCGUCCAAGCCAAGCCGC
rnacentral:rRNA from 1 species